rnacentral:rRNA from 2 species
UUUCCCAUUACGUAAGUAAGUAAGAUCCCUGAAAGAUGAUCAGGUAGAUAGGAUGGAAGUGGAAGUGCUGCGAGGCAUGGAGCGGACCAUUACUAAUCGAUCGAGGACUUAACCAAG